CAAGAGUAUAAACAUUGCAUAGGAAUAAAGUUGUUAAGAAAUGUCAGUAUACAGCCCAUUGUAUAAUAUAUGAGAGACAAGUUUAGGAAAGUGUACAUGUCAGCAGAAGAUUGUAGGAGAAAAUGUCAAAAUGCAUAUACUGACAGGAGGAUGAGCUAUUAUUGCCACUGGGCUGGGAAGCAAGAAAUGAGGAAAAGAAACAUCAUGAGCUAAGUAGCAAAGUGACAGUUUGUGCAGAAAAUCUGGCCACUCAGCCGAUGCCCGCAGAUGGGAGGCUAUGGGCAGUAGGAGUUGUGAGUUCGUUCUGGCUCACUAGCUCAGUCAAUGCCUGAUAUAACUUUUGGUUGGGAGAUCCAGGUGCUCCACGCAGCAGCCUCAGCCGUCCACGCUGGAAGUCACCUAGCCUGCAAGUGUUAGGUGACUUCUCACUCUCACUUUCCUGGCUGAACGCCGACGCCUCUUUCGGACCGGACGAAGAGCUGCGACCCAUUAAUUUCAGGCUUUGGGACCAGGAGUGCAUGGGUAGUUAGUGUAGGAGGUGCAGCAGCUUGUAUGCGGGCAGCCAGCCUCUCGCAAAACAAUUGGAAAGUCUUAUUCAGUUUGCCCAGCGCAUCCAACUCCCCACAACAUGAAUCAGAGGAGCACACAGCCGUCGCCAUUUU